CUGGCAGGGGUGAACAAGACAGAAUGGAUGGCUUCCUGGGGUUCGCGUUGUGAUGAGGAGACACAGGCACAAAAAGCAAAAGCAAACAAACACCUGGAAUCAUUUCAGAUGAAUGCUCUGAAGAAAAGCAGGGCACAGGAUACACAGUGACAGGGCCACUGGAGCAGGGAAGGCCGGGAGGAGGCCAGGUUGGGGGUGCUCUGGUGCAACACGCAGGCUGUGGGAGGAAGGGCCUUGUUCUAUUGAAGGACAGCAGGGAAGAAGGAGGAUGAAGGGAUGAUGCGGGGGAUGAGUGGAUACCACCUUAUUGAAAGGCCCCUUCCACCUUUGAGAUUUGAGGACUCCUGGCCCUGGCCCAGGUGAGGCCUAGUAGCCAACAACUUCCUGAAUCCAUGCAGGUGAAAUCCCCGUGUGAGAUGCUGCUCUCCAUAUUCUCCUAAUUCAUCCUCACAAUCAUCUACCUCCAUUCCACCCAUGAGGAAAAUAAGGGUCAGAGAAGUUAAGCAAUCUGCCCAAAGCCACACAGAGUCAGGGAAAGAACUGGAAAGAAACCCAGAUCUGCCUGAACUGUGGCCCAGCAGGUGAUUUCCUAAUACUAGUGCACCGAUUUGCCAGGGACCCCCUGGUCAGGGACAUCAGCCUUACAGAAAUAGUCUGGUAACAGGACCCAGAGCUUCUGUCCAGGGGUAGGUGCACCCUUUGGAAGCUGGGGUCCCCCCAAGCUCUCUCCACAGCUCUCCGCUGUCUGUAAAGGGAGCACUACGACACUCUUGCAGGGCCAGGCACGUUGGCUAAUGGGUAUCAUUUCAGCCCUUUCAGUUCUAAUAGACACUGUGCUGCCAUAAAGACUGUCAUUUCCUGCGGCUCCCGCAGAUAAUCAACAUGCUGGCCGCCUGGAGGGCUUGGAACAGCAGGCUCUGGGCACAUCUGCGAAGAUAGAAUCAUCUUCUCAUUCUCUGCCCUUCCAGGCCUUCCCCACCAGACACUGCCCUUGAGCCUGAGGGCAUCGCCCUGGGUCCCAGGAGGCCCAGCUCACUGCAGAGCUCAGGGAAGAACCAUCUUGUCUCAGUCUCACUUCAACACUUCAGAGUCAUGUGACCCUGGACACAGCACUUUCCCACCCAGAGCCUCAGUUUUCUCACUGUAAAAUGGGGGCAAGUGUGCCUAACUUGCAAGGUGGCUUAAGUGAGAUGACACCUUUUAAACACCUGCCACAUGGUGGGUGCUUGGGCAUCAGCAGCUAUGACAUCAGUGGUUCUGG
rnacentral:lncRNA from 1 species